rnacentral:lncRNA from 1 species
UCCUUUCUCGGCAGCGCCGUAGAGCGCGAGCAGACGGUGCAGCAUGGCGCACAGCGGAGGCCGCGGGCGGCCGAACCCGGCGUGUCCUUGGGCGUUUCCAGGUGCAACAAAACCUGCUCAUUUGAAGGUGCUUGAACAAAUAUUUUCUAAACACUUGUCAUGGAGAGUGAUUGAAACAAGCUGCCAGGACUACAUUUGCCAAUAACAAGGUACAAAUUGUGUGUGUGGUUUUUUUUUUUCUUUGAGGUUUGAUUAACAGGGCCUUAAUAGCUGGCACAAUGAUGACUUAAGUUUUUGCCGUUUACCCAGCUGAGUGUUUCUUUGAAGAGAGAAUCUUAAAAGACUGAGAUGCCAGCAGUAUAUAGAUGAUGCAAAUGACUAACAUGUGACGCCAUUGUUAAAAUGGGUUACUGUUUGUUCUCCCCAGCAUGUAGGUGGCUGUAGUGGAUGUCCAACUUUGGGAGCUGUGAUGUCUAAAAACCCUUUAUUGUUUUGGGUAAGUUUGCUUAAUCAGUCAUGUAUCUGGAUUCAAUACUGUUUGAUAACACUGAGGGGCUGGGGCCAGUUCGUUUUGAAGAUCAUUAGGGUGAACACCUGGGCCUAGUUUGAGAUGGAAGAAAAAUGAUUUGGGGUUUCUGACUUUUUUUUUUUCCUUUUGGGAAGGUGCAGCUUACAUAUUGGAAGGUAAAAUGAAGGCCAUGAACAAAGUCAAGAAGCCAUAAACAGAAGCAAAUGGUGAAAAUUAAUAUCUAAUUUAAUAUUAAUAAGUUAUAUAUAAAUAAACAGUUAUUCUUAAUUGC